rnacentral:sRNA from 1 species
GAAAAUAAAGUCUCGUAAAAUACUCUCUGCUUUCAUAUUCUCAACCCGAAAAAUACUAUUGUUAAAACCCAAAAAAGAUUUUCAAAUGAAUGUUGAACUUCCUGAAUCAUUUUCUGUCGAGCUAAAGAAUUUGUUGGAAAUGUUACUUCAAAGGGAGGUUUCUAAACGACUCGGUUGCAUGGGAAAUGGCGCUGAUGAAG